GGGCAAAAGCGAGUCGAUAACCUGAUCCGGGGACUUCCGAACGCGGCGAAAGAUGAAGUGAUUCCGCGCCUUCCAGAUUUCCCAAAGAAGGCUUGCAACCUGCUCAAAGUCUGUGGAGUCAUCAAAGAAACGAUUGAGCAGAGCGAUAUUCCAUUCAUUCGAAGAGGGGCUUAUCAGACCAGCAACGGUGUGGGGUUCAUCUCGGAGAGCAGGACCACCUAGAAUUCCAGCAGGAUAUUCAGCCAACCCCAGGAAGGUCUAUGACCUCUGUCAGCAUGCCAGAAGGUUUUGAAAGGAAAGUACAAACCUUUAAAGACACGGCUUCACAAAGAUGAAGGAUCUUGGAACAAUCUCCAUGCCUGUUUCCCCAGGAGAGCCUUGU